GAUGAACGCUAGCGAUAGGCUUAACACAUGCAAGUCGAGGGGCAGCAUGAACAAAGCUUGCUUUGUUUGAUGGCGACCGGCGCACGGGUGCGUAACACGUAUGCAACUUACCCAUAAAGCGAGGCUAACCCGGAGAAAUUCGGACUAAUACUCGAUGGUCUUAUUGGGAGGCAUCUUCUAAUAAUAAAAGAUUUAUCGAUUAUGGAUAGGCAUGCGCAUGAUUAGCUAGUUGGUGAGGUAACGGAGCACCAAGGCGACGAUCAUUAGGGGUUCGGAGAGGAAGGUCCACCACACUGGUACUGAGACACGGACCAGACUCCUACGGGAGGCAGCAGUGAGGAAUAUUGGUCAAUGGACGAGAGUCUGAACCAGCCAAGUCGCGUGAAGGAAGACUGCCCUAAGGGUUGUAAACUUCUUUUGUGUGGGAAUAAAAAGAGGGACGUGUCCCUCAUUGUAUGGACCAUACGAAUAAGGAUCGGCUAACUCCGUGCCAGCAGCCGCGGUAACAC
rnacentral:rRNA from 1 species